UUGCUCUUAUGAAGUUAGCGGCGGACGGGUGAGUAACACGUGGGUAACCUGCCCAUAAGACUGGGAUAACUCCGGGAAACCGGGGCUAAUACCGGAUAACAUUUUGAACCGCAUGGUUCGAAAUUGAAAGGCGGCUUCGGCUGUCACUUAUGGAUGGACCCGCGUCGCAUUAGCUAGUUGGUGAGGUAACGGCUCACCAAGGCAACGAUGCGUAGCCGACCUGAGAGGGUGAUCGGCCACACUGGGACUGAGACACGGCCCAGACUCCUACGGGAGGCAGCAGUAGGGAAUCUUCCGCAAUGGACGAAAGUCUGACGGAGCAACGCCGCGUGAGUGAUGAAGGCUUUCGGGUCGUAAAACUCUGUUGUUAGGGAAGAACAAGUGCUAGUUGAAUAAGCUGGCACCUUGACGGUACCUAACCAGAAAGCCACGGCUAACUACGUGCCAGCAGCCGCGGUAAUACGUAGGUGGCAAGCGUUAUCCGGAAUUAUUGGGCGUAAAGCGCGCGCAGGUGGUUUCUUAAGUCUGAUGUGAAAGCCCACGGCUCAACCGUGGAGGGUCAUUGGAAACUGGGAGACUUGAGUGCAGAAGAGGAAAGUGGAAUUCCAUGUGUAGCGGUGAAAUGCGUAGAGAUAUGGAGGAACACCAGUGGCGAAGGCGACUUUCUGGUCUGUAACUGACACUGAGGCGCGAAAGCGUGGGGAGCAAACAGGAUUACAUACCCUGGUAGCUCACGCCGUAAACUAUGAGCGCUAAGUGUUAGAGGGUUUCUGCCCUUUAGUGCUGAAGUUAACGCAUUAAGCACUCCACCUGGGGAGUACGGCCGCAAGGCUGAAACUCAAAGGAAUUGACGGGGGCCCGCACAAGCGGUGGAACAUGUGGUUUAAUUCGAAGCAACGCGAAGAACCUUACCAGGUCUUGACAUCCUCUGACAACCCUAGAGAUAGGGCUUCUCCUUCUGGAGCAGAGUGACAGGUGGUGCAUGGUUGUCGU
rnacentral:rRNA from 1 species